rnacentral:lncRNA from 1 species
GUAGCCUUCAUAGCUCCACUCCACUGUUGGAGCUUUUUUUUUCUUCUGCCUCACAAACAGUUUUCUCAAUGGAGUUGAAUCUGUUUUGUUAAAACGGUUCCUAGUAGAUGAAAAUGUUAAAACGAUUAUACUACCCUCCUAUUUCUGUCACUUUUUUUUUCUCUCUGUUCUCCUUUCUCCCGAAAACUCCCUCAUCAUCUCUCUUUGGUGGUUGCACGCCCUCCUAGUGGUCGUGCUGAGUGCGACGGUGACCACACUCCGGUCCUAGCGGGCUCGCCCUGGAUCGGUGGUGAGCUAUGUGUCGCAAUGGCCGUGCCCCAAUAGUCGCGCUACGAUGGCCCGCACACCCGUCCUCAUGUGGGUAGGAGCAAAUUUGACAUGCA